GCAGGAGGGGGCGAGGGGAAGCUCUCCCCGGCGGCCCGCUUCCCCCGCGCCAAGCCGCCCCUGGCUGCCUGCAGAGGAAGCGCCACCCUCGCGCAGGGGCGGCGGGGCGCCCCCACACGCCGCGCCGCGGCGGCCGCCCACCCCUCGUGUCACUGCGGGGCAGGCUGCGGGCUCGGGGGCGGGGAGGGCGGGAAGCGGCCAGCCCCCGCCAUGCCUCCCUCCCGCCUUCGCACGGCCGCGCAGCGCCGGCCGCCGCCCGCCCCGGCAGGUGACCGGGAAACAGCGGCCUCCCGGCCCGCGCCCCCGUGGGGCUCCCCGCGGUCGGGCAACGGGCCCAACGGACCCCCCCGCCCCGCCAUCCCGUCAGGCCUCCCGUUACAGUCUCCCCUGAGGAUGAAUCCUACGAUUUUGCUGCAAGGACUGCAAUAGCUUGUGGAUCUACAAACUUUUACCCCAGAAGGUCAUAUCGAGUUUACCACAUGCAGUUUUUCCUGUCUGGAGCUUGUAACCAGCAAUCAAGGCAUUGACCAAAUAGCUUUCUGUACCUGAGGAACUGUUUCAUCCUGACAGCAGCAACUAGCUCUAACGUGGAAGACAAAAAUGAACAGGAGGUUAAAAGAAGAAGGGGUCUGUCCCGUUUACCCCUUUAGCAAUGGGCAGGAGAAGCCAAACUUCCUUCAGACAUCUCUCACUGGGUGUGAGUUUUUUCUUUCUGAACAAUUUCCCAACCAUGGCCUCGUCAGUUGAGCAGAAAGGUGUCUGACCUCUUCCUUAGGAAGCUUUUCUUUUGUGAUCUCCUGGGCUUUAUGUUUUCUGCCUUUAUAUGCUGGGCCACCCUCCCUUUGGUAGGUGCCUCAGCCCUGGCGUUGGAAGACGGGUGGCCUCCUGAAGCGCUUUGUUCUCUGCCUUGGCACUUUCAGUCCCCAGAGGAAAUCAUUUACAACGACUGGGUGAGGGAGAGAGCUGUAUCCAAGCAAACGGUAUUGGUAUUUUGACAUCAUUUCUGCAACAGCUGAAAUGCUGGUGCCCAGCUCCUGAAGAGAAACCCACAAUGCUGAGCUAGGCACUUUAGUUCCCCAGGCACCAGCAGGGCAAGAGUGAGGUGAUCAGACAGCACACGCUGAGUGACCGUGACCUGGCACAGCAAAGGACACGACAUUCAUGGACCCACAACAGCCAAAGGCAUCCUGCCUCUGCAGCUCAGUGGUCAUGGUCUUCAGCAGGCAAAGGGCAGGCUUGCCGUGCUGGUCCUGCUGCCAGGGCUGUGUAUGAAUUUUCCUUUAAACAGUCACUGAAUAAACCCCAGAAACAGUUAAAGGAGCAGGGGCGGACUAACAGGCCCGUCAGUCCUACCUGUGAGAUGCAUUUGCACAGGCUACUGCAGUUGUCUGAAAGAUGAUCCAAUCUCAUUUCCCCAGCCAGGAUCUGCAAAGUGACCCAGUUCUAACUACUGGUAAUUGGCACUGACGUUCCUGGGGCCCAGUCCGAGGACAGGAGAGUGACCUGAAAGUGCUGGCAAAGUACUUACACGGGAGCUUUGAAAAUAAUGUGUUCUGCUCUUGUCUGAGUACUGAAGGAAUCGCUUCUGGGUGUGUUGCUAACCCAAUCAGCAGUGAGCCAGAAAGCUGUGGGCAUGGUGGGGAAAGCUAUUUGGUAGUUUUCACCAGCAAUUUUGGAUAUUAAUAUCUUUUUUUACAUGAGUUCGUCACUGUGAAAAGGUGAUUCAAAUGCACAGUAUAAUAAGCAACCUAAAGCCUCACCUGGGACGGCUAAGUGAAGUGAUUUGCUGCUGGCUAGGCUGGUAGCGCAGGGAGACUAGUGUCCGUCGGCUGACCAGCGUUCUCUCAGCGUUUCCUUGUGCUCACACCCUGGCCAGCCUGCACCUCUGCUUUGUGUCUCGUGUUAUACUUAGGCUGCAAGUUUCUGUGUGGGUUUGCAUGGUACUUACCAUCAUGGAGUUGUAAGCCGUGAGGCAGGGUCCUAUGCAUUAUGAUAAUAAUAAAAAUAGUAAUAAUUCAAACCCCCAAGCCAGCUUUAACAUUAGUUACAUCAACAAAAGUAAAUCAGUUGUGCAGCUGUGAGUGAAACAAACUCAGGAAAAAUAUCGUCACCCAGUGACUAAUAAGUAUGGUAGUGUUCAGAAUAAAAACGUGGGGGGUACAGGCUACAGCCCUUCUUUAAUAUAAAUCAGUGGCUGUUCCUUCUAAGGCAAUAGCCGCUCAUACUCUCCCGUGUUGAGGAAAACAUUAGGGAAUUAUAAAAGUAUGAAAAUACUUCAUCGUUUUAUUUUGCCUUUUUCUCAGUUCAGCAGUAGUUCAGAAGCAAUUGUAUUUGUCUCUUUUCUGCUUGUUGAAACACAUGCAGUUUCUGCCGAAAGUGCUUGCAUGUACAACCUUAGUCAUUUACAGCACAGAUUUUUAGUUGAGUAAUAGCAUCUGAAAGAAAUGCAGAAAGUUUGUCAGUGAAGAAACCAUAGCAGGGAAGCAGAUUGAUUGUGAGGGGCUGUUACAUCACUUCUCCUUGUGCCACAUGCCUUUGGCUGUUUUCCCAUAUAACAUACCCCCGGCUGUGCUUACACAUUCAGUGUCCCAAAGUGUAAAUUGCUAGACGAGGGGUCUUCUGUAGUCUAUAGAUGCAAGACUUUGCAGUUGAAAGAAGUGAUGUUACAAGUCUGUACUCCUACUUGCACUAUAGAGACAAUGUGGUUGACUGUUCCCUUUGCUGAGCUAAAAAUGACAACUAAGGUUUUAAUAUAAUCCUCAGAGCAGUUACCAGAAUCACUUAAUCUGUCAUGUUCUGCUGCUGCCUGCUAAGGCAGUAUUAGCGUACCAGUAUUAUAAAUGGGGAAAGAGCAUCUCCUUCACCCUCACGUCGGAUGUCUAUGACAGAGCAUGGAUCUGAACCCCACGUAGUACAAGUCCCCCAGCCGUAACAUCCUAGUACUUCUCAUCUGUCCUGUCUUACUUCUUCCCCCUUUUUUUUUUCCUUUUCCUAGGCUGUACAAAGGUGAAUAUAAAUGCAGUUAAUCUAA